CACACUGCGAUUCUGGAAAGCUGCACUCGAGAACAGACUUGAAGGGUGCGACAUGGGCAACAGCUAGGUGUUUAGAUACUAUUGUCUGGUUUUUGGGUCGUAAUGUUUGUAUGUUGGUUUGUUCGUUCGCCUUACUAGUCCUAUCUUGUUCCCCUUGUUCUCACUUGUCUUCCUCGUUCUAACUUUGUUAAAAUAGGGUUUAUCCCUGUUUAAUCGAAAAAAUUAAUUUCUAGGCGUCAUUCUCCU
rnacentral:lncRNA from 1 species